GCCCAAAGUCGCACGUGCCCAUGGGUGUCCGCCGAUCCCUCGUUUGGUGAGGAAUUGGUAAGGUACCUGGAACUAACCCCUCCAGUCGCUAUCCCGGCCAACCGGAAAUGCGAGGACAUCUGAAGCAACGACGGUGCGGGCCUUU
rnacentral:sRNA from 1 species